UAGUCCAUGCCGUAAACGUUGGGCACUAGGUGUGGGGGACAUUCCACGUUUUCCGCGCCGUAGCUAACGCAUUAAGUGCCCCGCCUGGGGAGUACGGCCGCAAGGCUAAAACUCAAAGGAAUUGACGGGGGCCCGCACAAGCGGCGGAGCAUGCGGAUUAAUUCGAUGCAACGCGAAGAACCUUACCAAGGCUUGACAUGAACCGGUAAUACCUGGAAACAGGUGCCCCGCUUGCGGUCGGUUUACAGGUGGUGCAUGGUUGUCGUCAGCUCGUGUCGUGAGAUGUUGGGUUAAGUCCCGCAACGAGCGCAACCCUCGUUCUAUGUUGCCAGCGCGUUAUGGCGGGGACUCAUAGGAGACUGCCGGGGUCAACUCGGAGGAAGGUGGGGACGACGUCAAAUCAUCAUGCCCCUUAUGUCUUGGGCUUCACGCAUGCUACAAUGGCCGGUACAAAGGGUUGCGAUACUGUGAGGUGGAGCUAAUCCCAAAAAGCCGGUCUCAGUUCGGAUUGGGGUCUGCAACUCGACCCCAUGAAGUCGGAGUCGCUAGUAAUCGCAGAUCAGCAACGCUGCGGUGAAUACGUUCCCGGGCCUUGUACACACCGCCCGUCAAGUCACGAAAGUUGGUAACACCCGAAGCCGGUGGCCUAACCCUUGUGGGGGGAGCCGUCGAAGGUGGGACCGGCGAUUGGGACU
rnacentral:rRNA from 1 species